AGGUUGUAACAUGGCAUACUUUCGCAUAUAACGAUAACGUAUAGACAUUUUUUGGUUUUUUUUAAUCGUCGGGCGGCUUAUUUGAAUCGCAAAUAGUUUCGUACGUCUGGCGUUAAGAAUUUGAUCAAUCAAAAAUAUGUUAUUUCGUUUGAAUUAAGAACAUGAGUAGCAAUAAUAAUGGAACUUUUCUUGAGCCUUUUGCUAAAAAGCAAAAAUCUAACAAG